CCUACGGGAGGCAGCAGUGGGGAAUUUUGGACAAUGGACGCAAGUCUGAUCCAGCAAUGCCGCGUGCAGGAUGAAGGCCUUCGGGUUGUAAACUGCUUUUGUACGGAACGAAAAGGUCUGCCCUAAUACGGUGGGCCCAUGACGGUACCGUAAGAAUAAGCACCGGCUAACUACGUGCCAGCAGCCGCGGUAAUACGUAGGGUGCAAGCGUUAAUCGGAAUUACUGGGCGUAAAGCGUGCGCAGGCGGUUAUAUAAGACAGAUGUGAAAUCCCCGGGCUCAACCUGAGACCUGCAUUUGUGACUGUAUAGCUAGAGUACGGUAGAGGGGGAUGGAAUUCCGCGUGUAGCAGUGAAAUGCGUAGAUAUGCGGAGGAACACCGAUGGCGAAGGCAAUCCCCUGGACCUGUACUGACGCUCAUGCACGAAAGCGUGGGGAGCAAACAGGAUUAGAUACCCUGGUAGUCCACGCCCUAAACCGAUGUCAACUGGUUNUUGGAUCUUUACUGNUNUAGUAACGAAGACUACGCGNGAGUAGACCGCCGUCGGGAGGUACGGCCGCGAGGUAGUAACGUACGAAGUAGAAGUUAGUACGGCGUGAGACGUUAGCCGACGGACGACGACGAGGGGAGGUUAGGG
rnacentral:rRNA from 1 species